rnacentral:rRNA from 1 species
AUUGAACGCUGGCGGCAGGCCUAACACAUGCAAGUCGAACGGUAACAGGAAGCAGCUUGCUGCUUUGCUGACGAGUGGCGGACGGGUGAGUAAUGUCUGGGAAACUGCCUGAUGGAGGGGGAUAACUACAGGAAACGGUAGCUAAUACCGCAUAACGUCGCAAGCCCAAAGAGGGGGACCUUCGGGCCUCUUGCCAUCGGAUGUGCCCAGAUGGGAUUAGCUAGUAGGUGGGGUAACGGCUCACCUAGGCGACGAUCCCUAGCUGGUCUGAGAGGAUGACCAGCCACACUGGAACUGAGACACGGUCCAGACUCCUACGGGAGGCAGCAGUGGGGAAUAUUGCACAAUGGGCGCAAGCCUGAUGCAGCCAUGCCGCGUGUAUGAAGAAGGCCUUCGGGUUGUAAAGUACUUUCAGCGGGGAGGAAGGGAGUAAAGUUAAUACCUUGGCUCAUUGACGUUACCCGCAGAAGAAGCACCGGCUAACUCCGUG